AGUUCUCACCGCUUCUUGGGCUGGCAGAGGUCGCCCUUCUCCUGGACCUCAGGGAGGAAUGACCCCGUUGCUAUGGAGAAAGGUGGAGGGGAAGGCUGAGAGGUGGUGUCUCCAGCCUCCUUGGACAAGGGAGGAGCUUCGCUGCUUUUUUAAGUGCAGUCAUAUAUAAGUCUAUAAGUACAUUUGGCUUGGCUCUGGAAAUGUUUACCCUGAAGACACAUAGAGCAGAUAGCUCUUCAGUUGCUGAAUUUAAGUCCUGUCUGAAAAGGAAAGGGAGAAGGUGUGGCUCCAGCAUGAUUUCAUAUAGAAAGGUAAG
rnacentral:lncRNA from 1 species